GUGCUUGCUUCAGUUCCCUGGAUACCAAAAUUAGAAUGAUACACAGAAAAUUAACAUGGCCCCAGUACAAGGAUGGCACACAAACAUACUCAUUUCCUUUAAGUACAU
ensembl:snRNA U6 U6 spliceosomal RNA